GCCGAGGUGGUGGAAUUGGCAGACACGCUAGCUUGAGGGGCUAGUGACCGCAAGGUUCGUGCGGGUUCGAGUCCCGCCCUCGGCACCA
rnacentral:tRNA from 1 species